GCCUCCGUGGUGUAGUGGUAGAGCACGCGUCCUCCGAUAGGAUGCAACGAGGGUUCGAUUCCCGCCUGAGGCC